AGAGUUUGAUCCUGGCUCAGAACGAACGCUGGCGGCGUGGCUAAGACAUGCAAGUCGAACGGACCGUCCGAUUGGGUAACCGAGAGGACGGUUAGUGGCGAAAGGGUGCGGAAUGGUUAGGUAACGUACCCCGUACUCCGGGAUAGCGUCCUGAAAGGGGCAUUAAUACCGGAUGAUAUCCUCGGAUUAAUUUCGGGGAUCAAAGAUUUAUCGGUGCGGGAGCGGCCUAACUCCUAUCAGCUAGUUGGUGAGGUAACGGCUCACCAAGGCGACGACGGGUAGCGGGACUGAGAGGUUGGCCCGCCACAUCGGGACUGAGACACUGCCCGGACCUCCACGGAGGGCUGCAGUAACGAAUAUUGGGCAAUGGGCGAAAGCCUGACCCAGCGACGCCGCGUGUAGGAUGAAGCCCCUCGGGGUGUAAACUACUGUCAGAGACUAGAAAGCUUCGGUUGAUCAGUCUCAGAGGAAGUCACGGCUAACUUCGUGCCAGCAGCCGCGGUAAUACGAAGGUGGCUAGCGUUGUUCGAAAUCAUUGGGCUUAAAGGGCGCGUAGGCGGAACAGAAAGUGUUUUGUGAAAUCCAACGGCUUAACCGUUGAAUGGCAGGGCAACUACUGUUCUUGAGGCAAGUAGGGGUGCAUGGGAACUCUUGGUGGAGCGGUGGAAUGCGUAGAUAUCAAGAGGAACGCCGAAGGUGAAGACAGUGCACUGGACUUGUCCUGACGCUGAGGCGCGAAAGCGUGGGGAGCAAACAGGAUUAGAUACCCUGGUAGUCCACGCCGUAAACGAUGCCUACUAGGUUGUGGGGGUUCUGACGCCUUCACAGUCGAAGCAAAAGUGUUAAGUAGGCCGCCUGGGGAGUACGGUCGCAAGGCUAAAACUCAAAGGAAUUGACGGGGGCUCACACAAGCGGUGGAGCAUGUGGAUUAAUUCGAAGCAACGCGCAGAACCUUACCUGGGUUUGACAUGCUUGGAUGCCGCCCUGGAAACAGGGUUGGCUGCCUUCGGGUGAAACUUGCACAGGUGCUGCAUGGCUGUCGUCAGCUCGUGUCGUGAGAUGUCGGGUUAAGUCCUUUAACGAGCGAAACCCUUGCCGUUAGUUGCCAGCGGGUCAUGCCGGGAACUCUAGCGGGACUGCCGGUGUUAAACCGGAGGAAGGUGGGGAUGACGUCAAGUCCUCAUGGCCUUUAUGCCCAGGGCUUCACACGUGCUACAAUGGUAGCUACAGAGCGACGCAAUACCGCGAGGUGGAGCAAAUCGCAAAAAAGCUGCCUCAGUUCAGAUUGCAGGCUGGCAACUCGCCUGCAUGAAGUUGGAAUCGCUAGUAAUCGCGAAUCAGCGAUGUCGCGGUGAAUGUGUUCCUGAGCCUUGUACACACCGCCCGUCAAGUGAUGGAAGCCGGGUGUACCCGAAGUCGGGUUGCUAACCGCAAGGGGGCGCCUGCCGACGGUAAGCUCGGUGACUGGCACUAAGUCGUAACAAGGUAGCCGUA
rnacentral:rRNA from 1 species